CACCCCACAUUUUGGGGGGUCUUUUAAGAAAGAAUGUUUCUUCUCUUUCUGAGAGCACUGAGAAACCUACUAUGAAACAAUCCCGUUUCUCAUUUUGGACAGCAUGAUUUGUGGAUGUAAAGUCUGGAACUGCCAUAGCUAUUUUGUCAACAUAAGGGACACACUGGCUUGAGGAUAAAGCUAAUAACAUGGAAGGCAGGACAGAGAAUUAGAAAGAAACUGGUUCGCUGAUGACAUCAUUGAACCAUGAAGCCUACCUUGCCUCUGGACUUUUCAGUCAUGUCAGCCAAUGAGCCCCUCCCCCCUUUAUUACUUAGGACAGUUUGAUUUUUGGUUAUUUGCAGUUUGAGUCCUAACUGGUUACUCCUGAGUCAUUAGCACAUAACUAGUAUGUAAGCCCAGGUAGAAAAUGUAGAGAGGAAAGACAGAGUCCUGGGGCAUUCAAACCUUAGAGAUUGGGCCAAGAAGAGGAACAUAAAAGAGAGAGGAGAAACUGACAGAAGCUUGAAAACCACGAGCUUGUCCAUGUUUGGAUGGAACCAUUCAGAGAAGAAUACAUAGAGGCUGCAGGAAAGAAGAAAAAUGGCAAAAGUAAUUCCUUGUACAGGUGAAGGCGCUGGGUGCCAGAGAGUGAGGGGAGAUGCUUCACAGGGGCAGCAACAUUCCUUUUCUUGUCAAAAGGGAGAGCACAGUACAUAAGCACGGAUAAAAGCAGAUGUGUGGAUUUGUGACCAGAAGAUGGAGAAGCCCCUGUUCGAUUUUCUGAGCUGAGUAUAACCUCUCUAGCUGCAUUAUUUCCGAAGAGCCAGCACAUCGAUCACAUCCACCUCCAG